rnacentral:lncRNA from 1 species
UUUUGUAUGUGUUCGUAUCCCUGCAGGUAGCGCGGUUCCUUCGUCAAGGACUGCCUUUUUGCCCUUGAGCAUCCCAAACCCUAACCCUUCAUUGAUUUUUCUUCUCCAUAACACACGUUUACUCCUUCUACUACAGGCGAGUAAGUCUCCAAAGGUCGAGCAUCCGGUAGAUUGCGUAGUAACGUCGUUCGUCCAAAACCC